rnacentral:misc_RNA from 1 species
AAGUCGUAACAAGGUAACCGUAGGUGAACCUGCGGUUGGAUCAUUAAUGAAUGAUUAAAGAGUUUAUUCUCUUUAAGCUUUAUAAGUUGGGUAUUAAGUCUUUUAUAGACUUUUUACUCAAUGAACCUUGUGUGAACAUGUUAACUGUCUUUGGUGAGAGUUUUUAUGAUAUUCAUUUAUCAUGGCUCACCAAAAUAUAUGAUUAAACAUUUGUUUUUAUAUAAAAGUCUUGAAUUCAAUAUAUUUAAAUUGAAAACAACUUUUGACAACGGAUCUCUUGGCUCUC